GCUUCUUCCCCAAUUACAUCUCACCUACAUUAUUAUUAUUAUGGCUUCCUUGUUUGGAAUACUGUGUAGUAUAAUUCCCAAGCCAUUGUCUAUGUGCUGCUACACAUUCUAGUGAGUGACUUCCUUUCAUGCAAUGUCCUGUAAAACUUUUUUUUACUUAGAGUUUUUUACAUUUUUUUUAUUUAAACUUUAUUUAACCAGGUAGGCUAGUUGAGAACACCUUUAUUUAACCAGGUAGGCUAGUUGAGAACACCUUUAUUUAACCAGGUAGGCUAGUUGAGAACACCUUUAUUUAACCAGGUAGGCUAGUUGAGAACACCUUUAUUUAACCAGGUAGGCUAGUUGAGAACACCUUUAUUUAACCAGGUAGGCUAGUUGAGAACACCUUUAUUUAACCAGGUAGGCUAGUUGAGAACACCUUUAUUUAACCAGGUAGGCUAGUUGAGAACACCUUUAUUUAACCAGGUAGGCUAGUUGAGAACACCUUUAUUUAACCAGGUAGGCUAGUUGAGAACACCUUUAUUUAACCAGGUAGGCUAGUUGAGAACACCUGUAUUUAACCAGGUAGGCUAGUUGAGAACACCUUUAUUUAACCAGGUAGGCUAGUUGAGAACACCUUUAUUUAACCAGGUAGGCUAGUUGAGAACACCUUUAUUUAAACAGGUAGGCUAGUUGAGAACACCUUUAUUUAACCAGGUAGGCUAGUUGAGAACACCUUUAUUUAACCAGGUAGGCUAGUUGAGAACACCUUUAUUUAACCAGGUAGGCUAGUUGAGAACACCUUUAUUUAACCAGGUAGGCUAGUUGAGAACCUUUAUUUAACCAGGUAGGCUAGUUGAGAACACCUUUAUUUAACCAGGUAGGCUAGUUGAGAACACCUGUAUUUAACCAGGUAGGCUAGUUGAGAACACCUGUAUUUAACCAGGUAGGCUAGUUGAGAACACCUUUAUUUAACCAGGUAGGCUAGUUGAGAACACCUUUAUUUAACCAGGUAGGCUAGUUGAGAACACCUUUAUUUAAACAGGUAGGCUAGUUGAGAACACCUUUAUUUAACCAGGUAGGCUAGUUGAGAACAACUUUAUUUAACCAGGUAGGCUAGUUGAGAACACCUUUAUUUAACCAGGUAGGCUAGUUGAGAACACCUUUAUUUAACCAGGUAGGCUAGUUGAGAACAACUUUAUUUAACCAGGUAGGCUAGUUGAGAACACCUUUAUUUAACCAGGUAGGCUAGUUGAGAACACCUUUAUUUAACCAGGUAGGCUAGUUGAGAACAACUUUAUUUAACCAGGUAGGCUAGUUGAGAACACCUUUAUUUAACCAGGUAGGCUAGUUGAGAACACCUUUAUUUAACCAGGUAGGCUAGUUGAGAACACCUUUAUUUAACCAGGUAGGCUAGUUGAGAACACCUUUAUUUAACCAGGUAGGCUAGUUGAGAACACCUUUAUUUAACCAGGUAGGCUAGUUGAGAACACCUUUAUUUAACCAGGUAGGCUAGUUGAGAACACCUUUAUUUAACCAGGUAGGCUAGUUGAGAACAAGUUCUCAUUUACAACUGCGACCUGGCCAAGAUUAAGCAAAGCAGUGUGACACAGACAACAACACAGAGUUACACAUGUAUAAAUAAACAAUAAACAAGCCAAUAACACAAUAAACAAGUCAAUGACACAGUAGAAAAAAAUAAUGUUUAUAUACAGUGUGUGCAACAGGCAUGAGGAGGUAGGCAAUAAAUAGGCCAUAGGAGUGAAUAAUUACAAUUUAUCAGAUUAACACUGGAGUGAUAGAUGAGCAGAUGAUGAUGUGCAAGUAGAGAUACUGGUGAGUAAAGUAUAUGUCCUGAUAACUAUUAAUUUAAUUUCCAUGACUUCUGAAUUGACUGACCUCCAUGUCUUUUGAGAGACCUCCUCAUCGUUUCUCUUUGCUUAUUUGAGCUGUUCUUGCCAUAAUAUGGACUUGGUCUUUUACCAAAUAAGGCUAUCUUCUGUAUACCACCCCUACCUUGUCACAACACAACUGAUUGGCUCAAGCGCACGAAGAAGGAAAGGAAUUCCACAAAUGAAAAUUUUAAGAAGGCACACUUGUUAAUUGAAAUGCAUUCCAGGUGACUACCUCAUGAAGCCGGUUGAGAGAAUGUCAAGAGUGUGCAAAGCUUUCAUCAAGGCAAAGUCUGGCUACUUUGAACAAAUAGUAAAUAAUAAAUAAAUAAAAUAUAUUUUGAUUUAACACUUUUUUUGAUAACUACUUGUUUCUGUGUUAUUUCAUAGUUUUGAUGUUUUCUCUAUUAUUCUACAAAAAUAAACCUUGAAUGGGUAGGUGUGUCCAAACAUUUGACUGGUACUGCACAUUUGUUUUACUUGCUUGGAAGUUGAAUACUGCGGUGAAUAUUCAGGUGUAGUGCAUGUAUUCAUGUCAGUCCCAAACCAUUGCAAAUUAACUUACAGUCCCAAAACCAGAUCAUACUAAUUGUUGAUUAUUAU